GAUGAACGCUGGCGGCGUGCUUAACACAUGCAAGUCGAACGAAGCACCUUAUUCUGAUUUCUUCGGAAUGAAAAAUUUGGUGACUGAGUGGCGGACGGGUGAGUAACGCGUGGGUAACCUGCCUCAUACAGGGGGAUAACAGUUAGAAAUGACUGCUAAUACCGCAUAAGACCACAGCACCGCAUGGUGCAGGGGUAAAAACGCCGGUGGUAUGAGAUGGACCCGCGUCUGAUUAGGUAGUUGGUGGGGUAACAGCCUACCAAGCCGACGAUCAGUAGCCGACCUGAGAGGGUGACCGGCCACAUUGGGACUGAGACACGGCCCAAACUCCUACGGGAGGCAGCAGUGGGGAAUAUUGCACAAUGGGGGAAACCCUGAUGCAGCGACGCCGCGUGAGCGAUGAAGUAUUUCGGUAUGUAAAGCUCUAUCAGCAGGGAAGAAAAUGACAGUACCUGACUAAGAAGCACCGGCUAAAUACGUGCCAGCCGCCGCGGUAA
rnacentral:rRNA from 1 species